GUUUCUGGGCUUGCGUUGGAUGCUUUUGAUGAAUACGAUAUAAUAAUGCAUAAUUAUUAUAUCGGUUUAUAUCGUUUGACGGUAGGAACGUAUGUCAUAUAGAGAGUGUCGGGAGGAAAGUGUUGCAUUCGGAUAUUUCGACUCCUCUUUAAAAUGUCUUCGAUCUUUCUUGUCGUUGCUCUCCUGGCAAAUGUACGAUGUGCUUUGGGGAUUGGAAGUAUCGAUACUCCAGUGAAGGUGCAAAAAUAUGAGGAAUGUCCAAAUCCAGUCCCAGGCGAUGUUAGUUGCAUACCACAAUGCCGAGAUGAUUCUGAUUGCAGAGAUUUUCGGCGCGAAAACAAAACCACCGCAUUCACUCAGCACUGCGUGGCCACCCGGAAUGUAAAAACACAGCCCAUUUCCCCUGCUAUCCCCGGUAUACCUCCGGACCUGGGGGGGGGGGGCAUGGUAAAACAUGACUGAUACAUAAUGCUGUUGAAAUAAAAAUAUAUAUAUAACUUGAAGAAGAAUAUAACUUCUAUGCUGAAUUUAAAUUAUAUUGUAUUGCCCUUAAUUAUUUCACGGUGGAACAUUAUAACACAACUCAUAUAUAAUUAGUGCACAUUUGUUGCAAAAUGAUGCGCAAUAAGUACGUUAAAUCAGCAUAUUGUCCAUGUUAAAGCAUAUGUAAUAGUGUGUGUUUUUACCUUUAAUAACAUUUUAUAUUGAAGUUCUUAAAAAGAUAUAGCUCAAUUUUAUAACAUUGUUCACAAAAAGGAAAAUUACAAACGAAAUUAAAAAGGGUUUCGUGAAUGGAAUGCACGAGAUCCACGAGACGGGAUCCCCGGGACUUGCAUAUGAGUGCGAACCCAAUACACUGAUGGUGACACAUUAUUGCAAAACGUUUUAUGACGCUGCCAUUGGGUAAGAUGGUGAUCUCCCUUGCUAAAAUGAAGUAGAAAGUAACAAUAGCGACAUCGAUUUUGAACAAACACUAUCGAGUUCCGCUUAAUACAGACACUUAAUGGUUGAGUAGCCUAUUUACUGGCUGUGAACAUUAAAGAUAUAUUUCUAUAACAAUGCAAAUGGUGUUAUUAAUCUUUAUAAUUCAUAUUUGGCUAUGCAAGUAGACUUAAUCUAAUUUUUAAUUAAUGUUCAACAUCUUUUCAUGACGAAAAUAACGUCAACUAUGCAAAUGACCACUUAAUUCCGGUUAGAACAACAAAGAAGAUAAUAAUAUGUCAAAAACUAGACAGGUUUUAACGACAAAGUAUAACUACAGAUAGUCAUAUUGCUUCAACGGAAACAAUGGAAGGGACAAAAACCAAAAACACGUCCGUUUAACGGGCUUGCAUUGUCAGUAAGUUGCGCAAGGCUUGAACGUUUUUUUUACACAAAGACCUCCAAAUUAACAAUUACCUAUACUAACAGUAGCUAUUGUGUAGUUUCCAUGUAAGCCAGUAUAUAAAUUACCUUUGCAUCAUUGUUCAUGCUUUUACGUCAUGAGAUAUUUAAUACUAUGAAUUUUAAAAUACAGCAGUGAACACUGACAUUAUACCAUAAUCUACCAUAAUUAUUACAAAGUCUUGAUAAAACAGUCCAGUGUUAUUCGAAACGUGCUUUGUAUUACGUACGCAAUACACUCUUGAGUCCGUGAUAUUCAUUAACAUGUCGGAUUCUUUGAAACCAAAUGCUUAAAAAUGAAUUAUUAAUAUUCAAAAGAAAAUAUAAUACAGUGGUUGGUUAUUUAUUGAUUAACUUCAUUUUAAAGCAGUCGAAUAACACAUACAAAAGUGUUACAACAACGGUUGAUUUGUUUUCGUCGUAAUUCUUAUAUAUUUCUUUUAUGCUUUUGAUGGAAUAUGGAGUUUUCAGUGAAAUAAUUGGAGUGGAAAUAUUCA